UACAGAGGUCUCAAGCGUUGUUCGGAUUCAUUGGGCGUAAAGGGUGCGUAGGUGGCGCGCUAAGUCAGGUGUGAAAUUUCGGAGCUUAACUCCGAAACUGCAUUUGAUACUGGCAUGCUUGAGGACUGGAGAGGAGACUGGAAUUCACGGUGUAGCAGUGAAAUGCGUAGAGAUCGUGAGGAAGACCAGUGGCGAAGGCGGGUCUCUGGACAGUUCCUGACACUGAGGCACGAAGGCCAGGGGAGCAAACGGG
rnacentral:rRNA from 1 species